rnacentral:lncRNA from 1 species
GGGCGGGGAUUGCGCCCGAGAGGCCCAAUCACAGGCCGAUCCUUGCUGGAAGGGCUGGUUAGAAGGCUGCGAAGAGGGUCUUGGGGGUCCCAGCGCUAGGCCUGAAAGGGGCGGGGGAGGUGGGCGGGGCUGAGCCCGGCGGACUGGUGACGCGCGUUGUAGUUGGGGAAACGCGUCGUGGUUUCCCCUCUGAUCGGGAGAUCCCGAGCCCGAGGCAGGCGUGGGCGAGGUCUGCAGUGCGUUCCUCUUUCACCAGCCGGAGGCACGAGGAUCCAGCUUGCGCCUGCUGACCUGUUUCUUCCUUCCUCUCCGGUUUCCCGGGAGACCUUUCUAGCUAGACCUCAGCGUGUGGGUCUGAGCUGCUUCUGGUCCCCAAGGACACUCAGGUUCUGCAGGAAAACCCCUGGGAGAAGAAAAGAGAAUGAUACUUGAGUGGAUCAGAGCCUGUUUAAAAGCUGAACUGAAGAAGGAAAUUGAUAAUGCAAGAGUAGAAAGAGACCUCAAUGAUGCUGAAUGGUGUGGUGGUGGUGAUACAGGCCUAUACAUCCCAGCACUCCGGGAGACUGAGGCAGGAAGAUUGCAAAUUGGAUCCCAACCUGGGCAACUGAGAGACUUAGCAGAGACUUUGCCUCAAAAAAGGAGGGGUAGGUAGUGGAUGUAGCUCAGUGUGAAGGUGGUGGGUUCAAUCCCCAAUUCCUGGAAAAAGAAAAGAAAAAAACCUGUACCCUAAACUCUAAAAUCUAGAAGAGAAAAUUUCAAUGAGAAAAAUCUUUUAAACUACAGACAUUUUUUGGACUUUCUAGAAAUGCAAGAAAAGGUUAUCCAACUAAAGCUGAAUUGAUACCAUAUGUAUCAUUCCAGUAAAGAAUGAAAAAUGUAUUCUAGUACCAAAAAUCAUCUAAAAUCCUUCAUAUUUGAUGUAAAGUAGAAACCCAUUAGUUUUUCUUUCUUUUUUUGUCCAAACAGCAAGUAGACACAGAUUAAGAUUCAUCUUUAUAUUACUGGCUUUAAUUUUUACCAGUUGUUGUAUCCUUUUUUUGAUAUUUUACACUGGCCAGGGUCCAUUUUAGUGAAAUGACCUCUCCUUUUUUGGUAUUAGCCUCCGCCGCCCUUAUCACAAAAAAUAUCGUAGGCUUAAUGUGGGAAAAAAUAAAAAUAUUGAAAUUUAAACAGAAUAAAACAUAACCCUAUCAUCAAAAAUAAAUAGUGAGGG